rnacentral:rRNA from 1 species
GACGAACGCUGGCGGCGUGCUUAACACAUGCAAGUCGAACGGUGAAGCAGGAGCUUGCUCCUGUGGAUCAGUGGCGAACGGGUGAGUAACACGUGAGCAAUCUGCCCUGGACUCUGGGAUAAGCGUUGGAAACGACGUCUAAUACCGGAUACGAGACGCGAAGGCAUCUUCAGCGUCUGGAAAGAACUUCGGUCCAGGAUGAGCUCGCGGCCUAUCAGCUAGUUGGUGAGGUAACGGCCCACCAAGGCGACGACGGGUAGCCGGCCUGAGAGGGUGACCGGCCACACUGGGACUGAGACACGGCCCAGACUCCUACGGGAGGCAGCAGUGGGGAAUAUUGCACAAUGGGCGCAAGCCUGAUGCAGCAACGCCGCGUGAGGGACGACGGCCUUCGGGUUGUAAACCUCUUUUAGCAGGGAAGAAGCGAAAGUGACGGUACCUGCAGAAAAAGCACCGGCUAACUACGUGCCAGCCGCCGCCGUAAGAC